UUGAACCGAAACAUAAUUUUAGGAAAAUUAAUACGCUUAUACUGCUUCACAAUAGUGUCAUGCUUGAACUUUAUCAUAUAACGCAAAAUGCUUGUUUUGUAUUUGAAAAAGUUAGUGAUACAUAGGAAAUUCCUAAUCCCUUAAACUUUUCCCUCCUUGAAUACGUUGUUAAAUUUCC